rnacentral:rRNA from 1 species
CAAGAGCGUAUGUAAAAGUUGUUGCAGUUAAAAAGCUCGUAGUUGAACCUUGGGUUUGGUUGGCCGGUCCGCUUUUUUGCGAGUACUGGAUUCAACCGAGCCUUUCCUUCUGGCUAACCAGUCGUUUCGGCGGCUGGCGAACCAGGAUUUUUACUUUGAGAAAAUUAGAGUGUUCAAAGCAGGCAUUAGCUUGAAUAUAUUAGCAUGGAAUAAUAGAAUAGGACGUUAUGGUUCUAUUUUGUUGGUUUCUAGGACCAUCGUAAUGAUUAAUAGGGACGGUCGGGGACAUCAGUAUUCAGUUGUCAGAGGUGAAAUUCUUGGAUUUACUGAAGACUAACUACUGCGAAAGCAUUUGCCAAGGACGUUUUCAUUAA